GACGAACGCUGGCGGCGUGCUUAACACAUGCAAGUCGUACGGUAAGGCCCUUUCGGGGGUACACGAGUGGCGAACGGGUGAGUAACACGUGAGUAACCUGCCCACAACUUUGGGAUAACGCUAGGAAACUGGUGCUAAUACUGGAUAUGUGCUCCUGCUGCAUGGUGGGGGUUGGAAAGCUCCGGCGGUUGUGGAUGGACUGGCGGCCUAUCAGCUUGUUGGAGGGGUAGUGGCCUACCAAGGCGGCUACGGGUAGCCGGCCUGAGGGGGUGACCGGCCACAUUGGGGCUGAGGGACGGCCCCGGUACCGACGGGAGGGAGCAGGGGGGAAUAUUGCACGAGGGGCGCCAGGCUGGUGCAGCAACGCCGCGGUCGGGAAGACGGGCUUCGGGGUGAAAAACGCAUUUAGCAGGGACGAAGCUUUUUGUGACGGUACCUGCAGAAGAAGCACCGGCUAACUACGUG
rnacentral:rRNA from 1 species